AGCAAUGUCAACUAGGGUUGCAGUGUCUCUUUUCGCAGGAUGAUGUUAUACUUGCUUCUGAAUUUUUCAACUACUUCUAUGGAAAAAAGACCAUGAAGUGAUCCUCUUGUCUCUUAGCAAUUACAGGUUUGAAUUCAGCUUUGAGACAUUUUAUAUAACCAGCUGUAUUUAAGUAGCUGAUUACAGUGACUUCAACAACUCCUAGAGCAGAAGAGGAAACCGAAAUUCGUAAGAUCCAUUUAACCCAGAUUCUUAUGGAUCUUACUGCACUAGGAUAGUACCUAUCAUACUGGUAACCACUGGAAAGUUUGCAUGGUUGGACUCUGUUGAAUAGGAAUGAAUAUGUGUAAAGCUGGUAUUGGUAUUAGGUUUCACAGUUUCAGUCCUGCUGGAGAUCUAUAAGGAAUCCCAUCUCAGAAGCAGAACUCAUGCAGUUCAACCUUUCCUCAACUGAAGAUUUCAGUGACAGAGAAGAAAAUUGUCUUCAAACCUCAGAUAAUCCCCACUAUGAUUCUGGCUAUUAAGUUACAAGAAGAGAAAGGAAUUGUUUUAAUGACUCUGCCAGUUGGUAAUCCAUGGUCUUGGAAAGCAAACCAAAGUGCAUUGCUUUUCUGUGCACUAACUCAACAGUUCAGUCAGCUGGAACAGACAGAACGGAACACAGAGCCUAAUAACAUUUGCAUUGAUUGGAUGUGAAUUUCAGUUAUUAAAAUCUAGCUGUC
rnacentral:lncRNA from 7 species